rnacentral:rRNA from 1 species
AACGAACGCUGGCGGCAGGCCUAACACAUGCAAGUCGAGCGCCCCGCAAGGGGAGCGGCGGACGGGUGAGUAACGCGUGGGAACGUGCCCUUUGCUACGGAAUAGCCCCGGGAAACUGGGAGUAAUACCGGAUAAGCCCUACGGGGGAGAGAUUUAUCGGCAAAGGAUCGGCCCGCGUUGGAUUAGGUAGUUGGUGGGGUAAUGGCCUACCAAGCCGACGAUCCAUAGCUGGUUUGAGAGGAUGAUCAGCCACACUGGGACUGAGACACGGCCCAGACUCCUACGGGAGGCAGCAGUGGGGAAUCUUAGACAAUGGGCGCAAGCCUGAUCUAGCCAUGCCGCGUGAGCGAUGAAGGCCUUAGGGUUGUAAAGCUCUUUCGUGGGGGAAGAUAAUGACUGUACCCCAAGAAGAAGCCCCGGCUAACUCCGUGCCAGCAGCCGCGGUAA